AAUACGUUCCCGGGCCUUGUACACACCGCCCGUCACGCCACGAAAGUCGGCAACACCCGAAGCCGGUGGCCCAACCGUAAGGAGGGAGCCGUCGAAGGUGGGGUCGGUGAUUGGGGUG
rnacentral:rRNA from 1 species